rnacentral:tRNA from 1 species
UAGGGGCUUAGGACUAACACAAACCGAGAGCCUUCAAAGCCCUAAAUAAGAGUCACGCCCUCUUAGCCCCUGA